rnacentral:lncRNA from 1 species
GUGUGGAAGUGAGGCUUUUCUUUCCCCUGAGGUUAAGCCACUUCUAAGUUACAGGGGUCAAACGACAUGUCCACGGCCAGCUAUUCACCUUGUUCCCCAUGUGUUUGCUGACUCUUCUCUUUUCCUUCCUCUGUUUUUAAUUCAUCAGAGUCUUUCAGUGCAAUGAAAAGAUGUUGCUUGGUCCUCAAUGAAUUCCGUGGAAGUACCAAAGGGAAAGAAUUCCCUAAGACCAGCGCUGCGUUGGUGAGCGGUCAAAACAGCUGCCUUAAAACAACAAAGACUUUUGUGGCCCUCUCCUCUGUCCCUUGAAGGUAAGGAAUGGCAAAGAAGGAAAAUACAGCCACCCCUCUGGAAUAGUCACACCUGCUGGAAGAGUCAUACCUGCUGACAAGACAGACCUGCCAAAACCCUGAGGACGGUAGAGACUUGUUCCUCCCACAAUGUUUAAUGGAUCGUCCUUCUCUGCGCUUCCUCAUGGGCUGGACCCAGCUUCACAUCACAUCAGGUCAUCGAGUCUGGUGCACAGAGAAGGAAUGCAAGCUGUAGUGGGAGAUUUGCAUCUAGAAAAGGGUAACCUGCAGGACAUUUUGCGUGGUCUCAGAUGACUUGUGACUGCAAAACCUUUUGGACUUUGGCUUUGUGGGUACGCAUCUGUUCACUAAGUCUUAUUUGGUCUAGGUCUGCUACACUAUUUCAACUUGAAUGCUAGUAACCAUUCCAAGGGCUCUCUGUGGAAGUUUAAUAGGAGCACGUGAAGCUAAUUCCUUCUUUUAUGAGGGAAAUCCCUAAGUGGAGAAAAAGGUGAGAAUCUCAUUUACUUAAGAGGGCAACUCUGGGUUAGCCGAACAAAAAUUGCAUCCCCUUUCUCUGAACUGUGCACUGUUCAAAGCCAAGUCUAACACUUCAGCAACUGAUGGACUUUAUUUUCCUCUCCAU